UUCAUCCUGACUUCGUUCACUUUUCCAACCAAUUAUAGGCGAUCGUAAAAAUACAGCUUUUUGGAGGGAAGAAGCUGAGAGGACACUCUCUCCGCCCCAGCAUAUAUAUAUAUAUAUAUAUAUAUAUAUAUAUAUAUAAUAUAAUAACAGCCACCUCCUCCCCUUAGUUCUUCUGGAUUUACUAUAUCGUUUUGUCGGAGCGGGCGGUGCGCGCCCGCGCGCCGGAGGCGUACCGUUAGCUUUUUCACAUUUUUCGUCCAAUUUUUCG
ensembl:ncRNA Y66A7AL.5 ncRNA